rnacentral:rRNA from 1 species
UGGGGAAUAUUGCACAAUGGGGGGAACCCGUGAUGCAGCGACGCCGCGUGAGUGAAGAAGUCAUUCGUGAUGUAAAGCUCUAUCAGCAGGGAAGAAAAUGACGGUACCUGACUAAGAAGCCCCGGCUAACUACGUGCC